AGAGUUUGAUCCUGGCUCAGGACGAACGCUGGCGGCACGCUUAACACAUGCAAGUCGAACGAGAGAAGAGAAGCUUGCUUUUCUGAUCUAGUGGCGGACGGGUGAGUAACACGUGAGCAAUCUGCCUUUCAGAGGGGGAUACCGAUUGGAAACGAUCGUUAAUACCGCAUAACAUAAUUGAACCGCAUGAUUUGAUUAUCAAAGAUUUAUCGCUGAAAGAUGAGCUCGCGUCUGAUUAGCUAGUUGGUAAGGUAACGGCUUACCAAGGCGACGAUCAGUAGCCGACCUGAGAGGGUGACCGGCCACAUUGGGACUGAGACACGGCCCAGACUCCUACGGGAGGCAGCAGUGGGGAAUAUUGCACAAUGGAGGAAACUCUGAUGCAGCGAUGCCGCGUGAGGGAAGAAGGUUUUAGGAUUGUAAACCUCUGUCUUCAGGGACGAAAAAAGACGGUACCUGAGGAGGAAGCUCCGGCUAACUACGUGCCAGCAGCCGCGGUAAUACGUAGGGAGCGAGCGUUGUCCGGAUUUACUGGGUGUAAAGGGUGCGUAGGCGGCGAGGCAAGUCAGGCGUGAAAUCUAUGGGCUUAACCCAUAAACUGCGCUUGAAACUGUCUUGCUUGAGUGAAGUAGAGGUAGGCGGAAUUCCCGGUGUAGCGGUGAAAUGCGUAGAGAUCGGGAGGAACACCAGUGGCGAAGGCGGCCUACUGGGCUUUAACUGACGCUGAGGCACGAAAGCAUGGGUAGCAAACAGGAUUAGAUACCCUGGUAGUCCAUGCCGUAAACGAUGAUUACUAGGUGUGGGGGGUCUGACCCCCUCCGUGCCGGAGUUAACACAAUAAGUAAUCCACCUGGGGAGUACGACCGCAAGGUUGAAACUCAA
rnacentral:rRNA from 1 species